rnacentral:rRNA from 1 species
GACGAACGCUGGCGGCGUGCUUAACACAUGCCAGUCGAACGGAAAGGCCCUGCUCUUGUGGGGUGCUCGAUUGGCGAACGGGUGAGUAACACGUGAGUAACCUGCCCCUGACUUUGGGAUAACUUUAGGAAACUGGGGCUAAUACCGGAUAGGAGCUCCUGCUGCACGGUGGGGGUUGGAAAGUUUCGGCGGUUGGGGAUGGACUCGCGGCUUAUCAGCUUGUUGGUGGGGUAGUGGCUUACCAAGGCUUUGACGGGUAGCCGGCCUGAGAGGGUGACCGGCCACAUUGGGACUGAGAUACGGCCCAGUCUCCUACGGGAGGCAGCGGUGGGGAAUAUGGCACAAUGAGCGGAAGCCUGAUGCAGCGACGCCGCGUGCGGGAUGACGGCCUUCGGGUUGAAAACCGCUGUCGCCUGUGACGAAGCGUGAGUGACGGUAAUGGGUAAAGAAGCACCGGCUAACUACGUG